rnacentral:rRNA from 1 species
ACACGUAGGGGGCGAGCGUUGUUCGGAAUCAUUGGGCGUAAAGGGCGUGCAGGCGGUCCUGCAAGUCCGGUGUGAAAGUGCUCGGCUCAACCGAGUGAUGCGCUGGAAACUGCCCUGCUUGAGUACAGGCGGGGACGUCGGAAUUUCAGGUGUAGGGGUGAAAUCUGUAGAUAUCUGGAAGAACACCGGUGGCGAAGGCGGACGUCUGGCCAUGUACUGACGCUGAGACGCGAAGGUGCGGGGAGCGAACAGGUUUAGAUACCCUGGUAGUCCGCACAGUAAACGAUGUGCACCAGGUGGCGGGGGGUAGCCCUCGGUACCGAAGCCAACGCAUUAAGUGCACCGCCUGGGGAGUAUGCUCGCAAGGGUGAAACUCAAAGGAAUUGGCGGGG